rnacentral:rRNA from 1 species
UACGUAGGGUGCAAGCGUUAAUCGGAAUUACUGGGCGUAAAGCGUGCGCAGGCGGUUUUGUAAGUCUGACGUGAAAGCCCCGGGCUCAACCUGGGAAUUGCGUUGGAGACUGCAAGGCUUGAAUCUGGCAGAGGGGGGUAGAAUUCCACGUGUAGCAGUGAAAUGCGUAGAGAUGUGGAGGAAUACCGAUGGCGAAGGCAGCCCCCUGGGCCAAUACUGACGCUCAUGCACGAAAGCGUGGGGAGCAAACAGG